ACCCCACGCAGGUGAGGCGCUUGAAGAGCCAGAGCGCUCAAGGCGCUGGGCGGGCCGGGGCUCUGCGCUCCGCUUCUCUAUUUAAACCUUUUUUUUGGUAAGGAUUUAUCUCCGCGACACCCACACCCGCGCUUUCCCGCGAGGUUUUCGCCCGUUGCCCGGGGAUUCCGAGCCCCCCGUGCUCCCCCGGGGGCGGGGGCCGAGGCGGGGCCCACCGCGGCCCGCAGGAAGCGGGGCCGAGCACCGCUCCCGCCGCCGCCCUCCCGGAGCCGGACCCGGCGCAGCGCCCCCCGGCCCGCCCGCCCCUCCUCUCUCCCGCGGGGCCCGUGAGGGGAGCGGCCGCCCCGGAUCUCGCCGCCCGCCGCAGGCCCCGACGCGGCGGGCUCCACAAAGAACGGCAGGUCCAGAAGCCCCCGGAGCUCAGGGUGCAGCAGUACCGGUGACAGCAGCGUGCAGUCGCUCCGCCAGCUUCCCAUGUUGCCACUUCUACCAUCAGCGACUCAAGCCACUGCUCAGCCAAGGUUCCAAGAGACACAGCAGUAAUGCAGCUGUGAAAGCAGCAUAUUUGCCCUCAAACUUCUCCCUCAACAUUCCUGUGACAUAUUUAAUCUUCCAGAUGACCUCCCCAAAUAUCCACCUGCCCUGCAGCAUGGACUUCACAUCCUCUGUCAGUCCAGGCUUGAAGCAACAUCUGUUUUUUCUGUGCAUAUCGCAUUGUUACUUUCCCAUUCUGAUAGAACUCUGUACUUGAUCCUCCCACGAUCCAGAUUUUGCUCAUCCACCUCUGCACAUAUCUCUCCAGAAACCACAGCAGAUUUCUGAACUUCACACUUCCCUCAGCUCUACUUUCCUUUCCCAUAAGGUAUCUUUACUUCUCCUUGCUCCUUCACCCCCAAACCCACUCACUCUCGCUCCAAACCAUCUAUUUCAUUGCUCUGAUUCAGUCCUUGCAUAUAUUAAUAACGAAUAUGGUUGUGUCUGGCCCUUUGUAUCUGUUCCUAAGGACUCACAGGUAUCUCAUUUCUGCCUGCAAGAUGCUGUGCUUGCCUAAUGACAGUCGUUUCUGGUAUGGGAGAGAAAAUUUAACUGGCAAAUUCCUUCAUACUCUACACUAUAACAGCUAUGACACUUAUUUGCAGCUUUUAAAGAAAAUCUUGUCGACUAUAUUUUUAAUACAAAUGCUAUGGAUUUAAGAAAUGGUAAAUAUUUGCUAUUUCCCAUAACAAAAAAGAAAUUCAUUGAGAAAUUCUGUGAUUUCUCUCAUAUUUCACAAUAACAAGAAUCAGUAUGAAUCAAGUUCAGCUGAAAAGCUUAUUGGUGAGGUCAUGACUAAUUUUAGAUACAUUUAGUGAGCUACAUGCCAGCCAAACUGAUCAGUGCCCAUCUAAACCUGUUCUGAUGCCAAGUAUUUGGUACUGACAGCACUAAACCCCAGUAAUUCAAGCCCCUCCUGCCUCAGUUUCCCCUACAGCAUCUUACCACUAACACUGGUUUCUAUUCUCACAUCCUCACUUGUUCAGAUUGCCAGAUCUUCCACUUUUUUUGCCACUUGCAAUAUUUUGUCACAUUUGUCCAAAAGAUAUUUACCUUUUUUUUUUCACUAGGCUGUGAUAUCGGGCAGCUUGUUUCAGCUAAGGAAUUCAAGCCAGGAUCUUUCAACUGGUAUUAUCUGAUGUUUAAAAGAGAUUUCAGGUGAUAAAGACCUGAGCUGAGCUGCAGUCUGGGCUGUUGCCUUUCCAAGGGUCAGACUGCGACACAGAAUUAUUUACCUGUGUAAAAGAGCGAGCACGAGAACUCGUCUCUGGGAAUUAAAAAUCCUGCUGAGAGACAAGCGUCACAAUACUGGUCACCAGCCCCGCUGCGCUGAUGUGGUUCAUCAUGUCACCAAAUCUCUCUGCAAUUGUUCUCUUUGAUUUCUCCCUUCCCCCAGGCAGAUGCGGCGACUCCUGGGAGGGAGCGGGUGCAGCGCUGGCGCAGAAAUCGUCAGGCAAACAAGAGCCCAGUGUCCCAGCACUCGCCGACCUGUCGUGGGCGAAGUCACAAGACGAGCUCGCUAUUGAAUUCCGGCAGAAGCAGAAAGAUGCCCAAGGGAUCCCGGAGCUACAGCUGGACAGCAAUAAAAGGCCGAUUCUGCUGCUGAGAAGGCUCGGCUGCGCGCUGAGCACUCAAAAGGAGGGCAGAAGCUGAAAACUGGAAGUUUUCAUUCGUUUCUCACACAUGCACUCCCCAAAAUCACCUGCUUUUCUUAACUUAGUCUCAGUUUACAGGGAAUAAAAUCUAUUUUCUCCACCACCAGUCCCCAGGAGUUCGCGCAAGCUCACAAUGCCACCUACUGACAGCAAGAAACAGCAACCGAGCUCUUCUGACAAUCCAGAGCAACUCAGGUUUUCCAUGAAGUAAUUUCCUCACCAUUUCCUUGUAUUUAUCAACUGUUCUGAUGGCUGAAUGCAAAUCUAAAUAUUUUCUUGUAGUCAGUAUCUUUUCAGCACCUUUUGUCUCCCAAGCGUUACUCUUUCCACUUCUGAAAUCGGGUGAAAUUUCUUUCAAAUUUUCUAAACUCUUUUCAACUACAUUUUGACCCAAAGCACCUAAUCCCUGCCAGUUAUUAGAAAGGGAGAGAUUAAUUAAGCUUUCUCCCGUCUAAUGGAAAAACAGAAUGUCUCUUCCCAAAUUCACACAUAACCAAAUUCAGAAACUUUAAUGUCAGAUAAUGCUUUUCAUACCCGUAAUAACCAAUCCCUGAGUUUGCUGGUUUAAAUUCAAUAAAUACAAAUACCUCUGCAAGAGGAGGAAACAAGUUCUGGGCCAGGGGGAUGGAAUCGGAACCGAGCCUGCGGCAGCUCUUCCAGCUUUUUGUAGCGCUUUUCUUACUCUCCAUCUGCUUUGGCCGCUUAAAAUGCACCCAAACAGUCCUCCAUGGGUGAAAAGUGUUUGUAAAAAUUAGGCCAAGGGAAUUCUAACCCAUUAUGGGACCCUCGUGCAUUAACAAGAUAUAAAUAAUGGUAAAAUAGGAUGAAUUUAGGAAGCUGAUGUAAUAUCCAGUGAGUUUUGCUGUCAGUCAUGCUGUAUUUGUCUAGAAGUGUCCGUAUUUGCAGACGGCUGUGAGAAUCAGCGUGGCACAGAGCGCUGUGCUGAGAAGUGUCACCACACACACCAACGAACUGUGUUGUCUGAGCCCCACGGGAACCUGCAGAAUCAAUUCCUCAUGUGCCUACAAAGAAAAAUAAAGGGAUUAGACGCAUUUAACAAGCUAUUGCUUUUUUGAGCGCAACGCAGAGGAUUAGUCACCAGACUGCUAUUUAACCAGCCCUUUGCUAAGGCUUGUUCUAGGAUUCGAAAUGGAAACCGAGGUGGGAUGUAGCCUUUCAAUUUACAGCAAACAGUACACAGCUCAAUACGUUUAUCUGCUGGCAUUUUAACUGGUAGCCAUUUAUAUUCUCUGUAUCUUUGUUCUUACAACAGGUUUGCCAUUGAGGAUAGGUACGGAACGCAGCACGGAAGAGAAAAGCUCUCAGAAUAUUUCACAGAUCACCAAAAAGCCACUUUUCUCCAAGACAAACAACUAUUUGGUUUCGCUAUGAUGCAAGAAGCUCUAAAACAUUUUUGGAGAAGAGCUGCAGAUACCCCAGGUGUCUGCAAGUAUCUUAAAUACAGGUGGGCAUGUGUUACAAAACCAACAGAUUUGUUAUGAGACAAAUUAGUCUUAUUUCUGAAUUUCUAGACACUACUGCAACCCUUCUGAGUAUGCAAAGUUGCUGACCACACCAAUUUUCUUGGUUUUGAACACAAAGUAACUUCAUCUUUUCCUAGACACUCCACAAUCAGAAAACCAACCAAACAAGUGGCCUCUUUAUAAAGAUGUUAUUCCUUCAAUCUUUGGGAUUUUACCCCUCAUAAAGUAGUUUUCCACUUUGCUACUCCUCUAAAGUACCUGCGUUGUAAAGACUUUUCUUAAUUUGACCAGUGCCAAUUAUAUCCUAGAAUUCCAAGUAAAUUAUCAAGGAAGAAAACUGAGGAGAGCAGCCCCACAAAGGACUAGAGGAGCACAGAGCGAGUACAAACAUGUCAGAAGGGCAGGAUGACACCUAUGAAAAGCUGGUCAGAAAAGAAAGAUGGAGGAAUACCGCAACUAGUCUUUUACUCAUCAGUUCCUGUGCUAUGGAGGUUGCAAAUCACUAAAAAAACAGGCAGGAAUUAUUAAAAGAGUGUCAGGAAUUCCCAGCGGAACUAAGAACUCACGGGUUUGUGUGUUAGGCUGUGCCACCGACAGGGCCCGACGUUUUUGCCCAAACAAGGAGCUUCCACUUCAGCCGGCUUCCUGCACUCUGCAAAGUGAUCUGCGGAACACAUUGAUGCAUCAGCAGGAUCCGGAUCAGAUGAAGACCUUUCCCAAUGGAGCAUCUUUCCUCCACAACGGUUAGCAAAAUUAAAACGGGCCCAACAGAAACGUCCCAGCAAACCCACAAGAUCAAGUCCUUUUUGUGAACUUUGCGACUUUUCCUUCCCAAUAAUGAGACAGACCCAAGGAAGACUCUCACCCAUGUGGUAUCUUGGCCCUUCUGUCCUUAACAAGGCAAAUGAUUCAUCAUUUGCCUUCAUAAUAACUCAUCAUAAUUAUUCAUAAUAAUUCAUCAUCUAGAUCCCUUCAAUUUAGCCACACAGUUAUAAUCUCUCUUCCGUCAAGUCUUCUUCCAUUUCUCCUUGUUGGCCUCCUGUUGGCACAUGCAAGAGCUCCCCGUCCAAUACUUUGAGUGCUUUCAUAUUAAUAAUAAAUGUUUUCUUGCUCACAAGUAGUAAAUGUGGCGGAAAAAUGGGAAGAUUUCACACCGCUUUUUAAUUGACCAGUCUACCCUGCCCCAAAAUUCAUCCCAGAAAAUCAUUGCCCAAAUAACGCUCAAGGGAAGAUAAAGGAGCUGAGACUCAUUAGCACAAUCUGACUUGGCAGCUACCAAGAAUGAUUUUGUGUCAGUGGGUAUGAGGUGCUUGUCUCACAGGAGUCUGACACUCCAACCACUGUAACCUUCAGGUGUGCAGGAAGUUCCCUUAUAUAUAGGGAACACGGGAAGAACGUGUUACAAACCACCAGAAAACUUUGAUUUAUAGAAAUGCCUGAUAGAGAAUAUUAAACAGGCCCUGAUAUUAACAUUAAAUAUGCCAUGUGUGGCAUCAGCUGCCAAGAGCACGACCCUCAACAAGCCAGGGCCUGCAGGGACAGUGACAAACAGACCAGCUGCCAACACUUGGAGUACAAGGGUGCAACGGCAGCAGCAGUCUGGUGAUGGUUAAUCUGCCUUUAGUCAGGCAGCAGCAGCUUUCAAAGAGGAAGACAACGUGAUCUUUAUCAGGGCCGCUAUCUUCCCCUCGUGUUCUAUCUACCGAGAGCUCCGUCUCCAGAAGACAAAUACAGAUCCAGAUCCCAAGCUCUGGAUUUCUCCCCAAAAACAACACAUAAGGAGAAUCUCACUGUGGCAGCAGCAGAGCAGGACUUGGGGGCUCUUCAGAACAACCAACGCUUCCUCGCUCCCAUCUGCUGGCCGGUGGUAGCGCCCAUGCACGGGCAAGGCAGCUCGAAAACAGCAAGAGCACCGCGGGUCGGGUUCCAUGUACAGCAGAACAAGAAGAUCCGCGGCCAAGUACUCAGGAGCCUCCACAUCGACAGCAUCAGGAAUUAACACCGCCUGCGAGUGGAAAAAGAUAGAGACAUGACUGCGAGGAGAAUCAGCACAAGGGAGGGAUGCGGGGGAAAAAAAUAUAUGAAUAUUUUGCGUGUGAUUUGGGGAUUUACGAGGCUGCUGUGGUGACCUGCUGCAGCAUCAGAAGGGAAAACUAUUUUCUUCAUUCUGUUUUCUAACACUGAGCCUGGUUUUGUGCUCAGGAAGAUCAAGUUGGAAAUUCUGCCCUUAAGCUGUUCCAAGAUAACUUUUCAAGUCCCUCUCCAAUGAGUGAUUCUUACGUUUACAGUGCAACCAUGCCUAUAGCCAAACCCAAGGGCCAUUAAUGAAACGAUGCGUAUAAGCCCAGCCACACCAGCACCUGCAAAUAUCCCAACAGCAGACGGUGCCCAGAGCCUUCAUAUCUGUAUGUUUUAACUGAAUUAAGUGCCUAAUAUUACCUUAAAGCCAUUGCCUUAGCGCAUCUCUCUACCGAAAUACUGGCAGCACAUGACACAAAACAUCCGGCAUGGGUGAUGACGGUCAAGCCAAGAGAUAUGAGAUAUCACGAAGAUGAUACUUGUGCGGCAGCUCCUUCCACAAAAAGGAAUUAACCACCUUGGUUCAACGAGCCAGAUGAAGCUCGGAGAUUACAACUUCCUGAGUGUGCUCAUCCUUCUCUGAGUAACUACCAGACGUCUUGGUGCUGGGGUCGCUACCUUUGUUACGUUGUGCUGUUGCAGCGACGCCAGCUCGUAGGGAUCCACGUAGAUUCCUGGUGGAAGCCGAAUUCUCGCCGCCACCACGCAUCCUCCUGCGUCCUCCCCCGCUGCACCGAGUUCUACCGUCACCAGCAGGUCCCUUCAAAUGAGCCACAAAAGCAAAACAUUUCUAUUCUCAAAUGUGCACAGAUUAAAUGCAAACGCGCUGCAAAUUCAGCAAACGGUUCCCUGCCGACCCACGCUGUCCUUCGCCAGGGAGGAAGGGUGGAGUUCACCCUAAUUCCACAUGCACAACCAAAAUGAAGUUUCACUUCUCUGUUGACUUCUCAGAACCACCAACGGCCUCUGUGCAGAUCUUAGAAAGGGGCCUCCUGUUCUUCCUCCACUGUGGUUCGUAAUUGUUAAUUACUCGAUCAUGCCCAGCUGUGCCUGCGGAUCACAGCUCAGUGAGAUGAUAAAACUGGGCAGGAAUUAGAAGAGAAGCUUUUCCACACAUAAAAUUACCCGGCACAUUAUUGUGAUGCAGCACCGGGGUGACACCAUACCUGUGAAACCCGUCUUUCAGCAGCUCCUGCGUGACAGUGGCAUCUGGACAAGCGGCCUGCACAUCUAAAAUAACACAGAACGAGUGAGUAACGGUGUUUACAGAACAGCAUGUGUAAUUAUCACACAACUUUAACAAGCAACAUCGUAUCAUCUGUGAACGCAUCAUCUGCAAAAGCUCCCACAGCGGAAGGGAAACAGUAUUUCAAUUCAGUACAACCAACAGCUGUUUUGUCAGUAGAACACAAAGCUCCACCUACCACAAAGGCUGAAAUAUCUUUUAUUUAUCCAGAAGAGCAACUUUCAAAAGUGUGGGUUUGUUUUUACUGAGGAGUCUGUAAUAACUCCCACUUUUUCCCACUGUAACCCCCAUUCCAGGUGCGAUUCCUCAUCUCCUGUAUAAGAUCAUCUCCCUAUAAGAGCCAGAUUUGAACAGUGAA